CGGGUCUAUAAGAGAGGCAGGAGUACACUUCACAUCCAUCAUUGGCAGUACACGGGUAGCAGAGAGCAAGAUUUCUGAGAGGCAGGAGUUCCCAGAGCGGAGGCUGAAGUUUAUUGUUCUCGGCGACGAUGUCCCUGUUGGACCAGAGGGGCGAUGUCCGAGACUGGGCUCCGCCGGGCUGGCACUGGGAGGUGCUACCUUCCGGGACGCGCGGCUUGGUGAGGAAUCCGGGUGACGUCGUCGACCCGGAUCUUCUUUGGUGGCAGUCGCGUGGGCCACGCUUGGUGCAGAGGGAGCCGGCCCCCGAGGAGGUGGUACAUCGCCGUAUCAGGGAGGAGGACGAGCACGUCCGUCGCUACAUGUAUUUGUUGGAUAGGCAGUAUAGCAAUACCUGGUCGUUUCUUCAGAGGGUUCCUUAUCACGUGAGCUAUGACCCAGUGAGGGUUCCUUAUCUUUGGAUGCGCAGCGCCCGCGGCUCAGCACCCGAUCGAAGUUAGUUUGAGAGGUUCAUGCAUCGGAGAUGUAUUACUGAUAUUAUUAGUGAUGUAUUAGGGUUAAAUAAAAAUGGACCCGAGCUAUGUAACUAGAUUAUUCUAGAUGUAAGGGCGAGUUUGGUUCAUGGGUUAAUGUUCGAAUAUAAGUAAGGGAGUCAAUCUUUCGACGGAAAAA